rnacentral:tRNA from 1 species
GCGGCGGUGGCGGAACUGGCAGACGCGCACGUUUGAGGGGCGUGUGGGAUGACCAUACGGGUUCAAGUCCCGUCCGCCGCACCA